GCUUCAGUAGGGCAAUUGGUCAGCACAACAGACUGGACAUCUUUAGAUGCGGGUUCGAGACGCGCUUGAGGUU
rnacentral:tRNA from 1 species